AGACGGAGGGAGCAAGCGUUGUUCGGAUUUACUGGGCGUAAAGGGCGUCUAGGCGGACUGGCAAGUCAGGUGUGAAAUCCCCCGGCUCAACCGGGGAAUUGCACUUGAAACUGCCGAUCUUGAGUACGGGAGAGGAAAGCGGAAUUCCUGGUGUAGCGGUGAAAUGCGUAGAUAUCAGGAAGAACAUCGGUGGCGAAGGCGGCUUUCUGGACCGAUACUGACGCUAAAGCGCGAAAGUGUGGGGAGCAAACAGGAUUAGAUACCCUGGUAGUCCACACUGUAAACGAUGGAUACUAGGUGUCGGGGGUAUCGACCCCUCCGGUGCCGGAGUUAACGCAUUAAGUAUCCCGCCUGGGGAGUACGGUCGCAAGGCUGAA
rnacentral:rRNA from 1 species